rnacentral:lncRNA from 1 species
GAGAUGAAGAGCAGACUCAAUCUUUCAUGAAAGCGUGAUCAAUGGAGAGAGAGAAGGAAGAGAAAAAAUUGGGUGAGGGACCCCAAAUCUCAAAAAUGGAUCCUGUGACUCACGGUGCCUACGGUGGCGGAAUGUACGGUACCGAGAAAGGCCAACCGGAGAAACCUACAAAGCCACCGGCUAGUGACAGUCAGAGUGCUGAUGGCCCCGUUGAUAAGGACGCUAUCAAGCCCAAACUCAAUCCUCCCCCUUCAUCUGGGGACAGAGAUUUAGACAUCACCGGCCAAUCUUAUAUCCAGUAACAUAUAUAUAUAUAUGCAAAUAUGUAAUAAUUAAUAUGUAAUGAUAAGGGUGUUGCUUCAUUAAAUCUCUUAUAAUGUUUAGGUUCGUCUCUAAAAUUAUGUAGAUUUUAAAGGAAUUUCAACACUGUUGCUGAGUAGUUAAAUUAAGAGUUAAUCUUGAGCUAUAUUUAAAAAAUAUAUAAUCUUAGUUUAGAGCAUAAUUGAAAAUUAAUCAGUAUUUAUUUCCACUAACAAAAUAUACUAUUAAUUUUAGUUUAGAUAUUAUAUUAGUGGUUUGGUUGAUUUGUUCCUAUAGCUGUAACUUUUUUUAAAAUAAAAAACUGGAAUUUAAUUAUUUUUAACUAAUUCAUAUGCAAUAAUUGAGGAAUCAACUUGAUAAAAGAGGCCAUCCCACGUUGAUAACUUUACUGGAAUAACUACAUAACUUAAAAUAUAUUUCAUGCCUUAAAAAUCUGAAUUUUCAGCUUCUCAUAUAUGUGAUUUUAAAACUAGUUUUGCAAUGGCAGAGUAGUAAUUAGAGAAAGAGAGGGAGUUGGGAACGAUGGGCCAAAAGGAAGAAAAGGCAAAGCGACCUUCUUGGAAUGGUCCCAUCGUUUUGUGCGAAACUUUCCAAAGUGCCAAAGUGCCAAAGUGAAGAAAGAAAAGAGACGAUGAGAAAGCGAUAUAGUUUACAAAAAGAUGAAUUUAAGAUAUUAUAUUAGUUACACAAUCUCUUACUUAUUUAUUACAUUGUUAACCCUUCACUUUCUAUUCUUUUUUAUUCAUAUGAUAUAAAAAAUGUCAUUAUUUAUAAAAUUCUUACUGCAUCACCUUUUAUAUUUAUUACAUUAAAACCGAUAUAAGUAAAAAAUAAUUUUUGUACCGGAAAAAUUAAGAAGUGGUGCAUGCACGCAGUGGUGUAAGAAGUGGACCUGUAUUGUAUGUUGUGUUAGAUUCUUAAAAAAGAGUGCCUUAAUUUGUGUGCAUGUCUCUGUACUAUGUACUACAAAGAAAAAACUAUUGGAAGGUGGUGAAAUAAAGGGUGACAAAGCACAACUGCUUUUAGUUGCACAGAGUACGUGCAUGACACAAACGCUAAUUCAAUCGGGUCAUGAUUUUGAUGCUAAAAAACAUUCACUGUUUUGUCUUUUAUGUUCUUUUCAUUUUUUAAUUAUUGAAUUUUAUCUUUUUAAUGACAUCUAAAAAUAGCUUCUCAAGGAAUUGGUGCGUUAUUAAAAAGUUAUUUUUCAUUUCAAACAGCCUUUGGCUUAUAUCAACUAACAUUUUCUUCACAUCCUCUGGUAAACUUUUAAAUUGAUUUUUAGCGUAAAGAAGCUAGAAUUCCAAGAAAGUAACCCAGCGCGAAAAAUACUUGUAUGUAGUGAAUAAUCGAUAUUUUGGGUCAUAAGUGGGAAAAAUAAGCUAAGUUGAUCUAAGAUAAACUUAACGUCAUCCACCUUCACGCAUCUAGAUGACGAUGAGAGUUUCUGACAAAAGAUCCUUCAUUUUUUGUUAUCUCUUCAGACUAGAUGACUGAUAAGUUAGGGU